UUCCAAAGCCGGCUUCACGCACCCGCACGGGGUCGCUGUGGCUUCAGGCCCUGUCUCCUCCAAGACGCGCAUGGCUACUUUUCACUGAGUAAAAACGAUGUAUUGUCAGCAAGGAACCCCAAGUAAACCUUAUUUAAAGUCUAAUGGAUGGGGAGCCUCACACUGGAAUAGGGGUAUUGAACAACUACAUACUGUAUGAUUCAACUUAUAUGAAAUGUCCCAAACAGGCAAAUCUAUAGAGACAGAACACAGGUGUCUGUCCUGAGAACUCUCCUCAAUAAACCUGUGUGUGCUAAUUCUCCAUCUUGGAUUCUGUUCCCAGGGACCCCAGUCUAAGACAGUGCCAGCUUCUGAAUCAACAAAGGUGACAAGAGGUGGGACUAUGCUGAUGAAGUAGGACUAGUUUGCACGCCAUGUUAUAGACCAGGGCUGGGAUCAAUCUCUCCCAAAGCACAUGGGCUGAAGCAGAGAGGAUAGGGACUGAAACAAAACUGAAUUGUUAAUAAAAAAGAGAAAAAUCAUAUUGGGGAGGAAAUGAUACAGAUUUUUUUGAUCUUUCAAGAGAAGCCAGAAUCUCAUGAUGUUUUAACAUUGGAAACUAACUGCGAUGUUUUUAAAUGUUGAUGAAGAGCCGAGAAGACAUUGCCCAACAUUUCAGCAGUUUGCAAUCUUGGCCAGAAAGAACACGGGUAUAGUUUGUAGCCCCAGAGAGCAAAGCUAGGACUGAUAGUUAUGUGAAAUCAAGAUUUCAGUUCGACCUGAUGAACAGUUUCCUAAUGAUUUGAGCAAUAUGAAAAUGGAAUGAAGCAUCUCAGGAGGAGGUGAAUUCUUUGGCACCAAGGUUCAUGUUUGGGUCUUCUUAGAAUUUGAAGUAUAUGAUCUUUGAGAUCCUAUUCAUUGAUAUCCAUAGAACAUGUCCUAUAUUCACAAAAUAUCACUGAUACACCCUUAUCCCAA